GGAAGCAUGAACUGUAUUAAUCAUUUAUAACCUCUUUCCUCCAAAGCAGUAUAAAACAUCUCUUCUAAUGGAGCUGGAAAAUUAGGCAAAUGAACAUGACCUUUUGUCCAAGGGGAAGUCCCAAGUCUUGCUGAAAAAUGGAAAGGACUUGGCCUACCAGGACCCCAUGCAGAAGAUGGGCUAUUUCUGUCCCAUCCCUGCAGCUUCACUUUCACCUGGCCCCUCUGAACAUGUUUCUUCUUUGAGAACAUCCUGGAUUCAGCCCCAAUGGAAACCAUGAAAUUUGGCAGCCACCUUUACGGAGGAGGAGACCAGACUUUCAUUUACAAAGUUGAAAGGGUCAUGCUGUGUUCCAAGGCCCAUUCGAUUUGCACUAGAACUCAGAUCCCAUGCAAAGCAAGAUGUGCUGCCUAUGACCAGUGAUGAUGCUCUGUAUACAGUGUGGUUAUAAAUAAUAUGUUUAUUUUUGGCCAGUUAUUGCCCUCUGGGAGCACUAUGGGAGAAACUGUGAACUAAUCUGAGUUCUAGAAAGGAGUAAUAGGAUAUUUGAUGUGGUUUGAAAUAACAAAAACAAAAUCUGUUUUUUAAUGCCUUUUGCUUUUUAAUAAAUAAAAACAACAUGAGGAAACCACAUGGGCAUAGCUGAGUCCCAAAUAAUUGUGUUUACUAAAUAUAUAAAAAUAUCGAAGGACUAACUGCAUACACGCUGGUUUCUUGCAGCUUCUAAAAACACAGAACACUGUGAGUACCACUAGAGGGCUCAUAAACAAUUUAAUGACUUACUACGCUAUAUACACUAUAAUUUUGCCUUAUUCUAUUUUUAAAUGUUAUUUUAAAAACAAAAAUUAAAGCUAAUGAGAAUCCUUAUGGCACAGUUGUUCAAAAAUGAAUUUGUAACACUAGCAAACGGUGCUAAGUCACUAGGGGUGGUGUACAUUUCUUGAAGGAAUACUUUUCAAUUGGAUAAUUCUGUUUCAACAAAAUGGAAAUGUUUUGUGACAAUGUGUCAAUUUCAACAUUUUCUAUAAAAUUUUUGAAACUAUUGAAAAUUAAAUGGAAUAUCUUUUGUUUUGAAU